CCUCUGGGUCCACCUCCCACCCGUGUUUAUUUACCUUGUUGCUUCGGCGGGCCCGCCUUAACUGGCCGCCGGGGGGCUCACGCCCCCGGGCCCGCGCCCGCCGAAGACACCCUCGAACUCUGUCUGAAGAUUGUAGUCUGAGUGAAAAUAUAAAUUAUUUAAAACUUUCAACAACGGAUCUCUUGGUUCCGGCAUCGAUGAAGAACGCAGCGAAAUGCGAUACGUAAUGUGAAUUGCAAAUUCAGUGAAUCAUCGAGUCUUUGAACGCACAUUGCGCCCCCUGGUAUUCCGGGGGGCAUGCCUGUCCGAGCGUCAUUGCUGCCCUCAAGCACGGCUUGUGUGUUGGGCCCCGUCCUCCGAUUCCGGGGGACGGGCCCGAAAGGCAGCGGCGGCACCGCGUCCGGUCCUCGAGCGUAUGGGGCUUUGUCACCCGCUCUGUAGGCCCGGCCGGCGCUUGCCGAUCAACCCAAAUUUUUAUCCAGGUUGACCUCGGAUCAGGUAGGGAUACCCGCUGAACUUAAGCAUAUCAAUAA
rnacentral:rRNA from 1 species